GACGAACGCUGGCGGCGUGCUUAACAUAUGCAAGUCGAACGGAAAGGCCCUUCGGGGUGCUCGAGUGGCGAACGGGUGAGUAACACGUGGGUGAUCUGCCCUGCACUUUGGGAUAAGCCUGGGAAACUGGGUCUAAUACCGAAUAGGACUCCGGACUGCAUGGUCUGGGGUGGAAAGCUUUUGCGGUGUGGGAUGGGCCCGCGGCCUAUCAGCUUGUUAGUGGGGUGACGGCCUACCAAGGCGACGACGGGUAGCCGGCCUGAGAGGGUGACCGGCCACACUGGGACUGAGAUACGGCCCAGACUCCUACGGGAGGCAGCAGUGGGGAAUAUUGCACAAUGGGCGCAAGCCUGAUGCAGCGACGCCGCGUGAGGGAUGACGGCCUUCGGGUUGUAAACCUCUUUCGGUAGGGACGAAGCGCAAGUGACGGUACCUACAGAAGAAGGACCGGCCAACUACGUGCCAGCCGCCGCGGUAAUAC
rnacentral:rRNA from 1 species